rfam:Alkalibacterium sp. 20 contig77, whole genome shotgun sequence.
GCCGGCUUAGCUCAGUUGGUAGAGCAACUGAUUUGUAAUCAGUGGGUCGAGGGUUCGAUUCCUUUAGCCGGCA